rnacentral:rRNA from 1 species
GACGAACGCUGGCGGCGUGCUUAACACAUGCAAGUCGAACGGUGAACCAGGGCUUGCCCUGGGGAUCAGUGGCGAACGGGUGAGUAACACGUGGGCAACCUGCCCAGACUCUGGGAUAACUCCGGGAAACCGGGGCUAAUACCGGAUACGACUCGAGUUGGCAUCUUCUCGAGUGGAAAGUUUUUCGGUCUGGGAUGGGCCCGCGGCCUAUCAGCUUGUUGGUGGGUAAUGGCCUACCAAGGCGACGACGGGUAGCCGGCCUGAGAGGGCGACCGGCCACACUGGGACUGAGACACGGCCCAGACUCCUACGGGAGGCAGCAGUGGGGAAUAUUGCGCAAUGGGCGAAAGCCUGACGCAGCGACGCCGCGUGAGGGACGACGGCC